GUCAGGAUGGCCGAGCGGUCUAAGGUGCCAGACUCAAGUUCUGGUCUCCAAAUGGAGGCGGCGUGGGUUCAAAUCCCACUCCUGACA